GUCAGCAGCUGCGACGGAGCCGUGGAAGUCCUUUCCUUCCUCGCAGGAGGGCGCUGCAGGAGGCAGACUUUGUUUCGCCCAGAGGAGACCACUGUGGGUUUUGCUGCCGUGGAUGGACUGGCCGAGGCUUUGGUCGGCUUGACGGCCAGCAACUCUGUGCUUGUCUGGAACCUGAGCACUGGCCAGCUGCUGUGCCGGAUGCCCCUGAGCUAUGCCUGCCCUGCGCCCGUGUGCCACCAGGCCUACUCCGACUCGGGCCUCCUGUUUGUGGUCUUAAGUCACCCGCGUGCCAAGGAGGACGAAGUGCACGGCAGCCCCGCUUUCCAGGUGGUCGCGUUCAACCCCAAGACGGGUAGGAGUGCCAAUGUGAUGACGGUGUCCCUCCCUCCGGGGCUCCA